CUAGGUGACCAACCAUCCUGGUUUGCCUGGGACUUAUGUGUUUCCCAGGAUGUGGGUCAUUUCAUUUUAAAUCACAACAGCCCUGGGAAAAUUAGGAUGGUUGAUCUCCUUAUCUAGCU
rnacentral:miRNA from 1 species